ACUAGAGAGGCAAAGCUCAGAGUUCUCCACAAGCAAAGUGAUUUGCUUACAGAAGAUGAUCAAGGAAGAACAUUUGUGGAGAGAGUCUGGCAAGUCUCAACAAGAAUGUAGGCAGUUGUUCACUCCUGGACCUCAUGGAUACCAGCUGCUGUUUGCAGUUUUUCCUCACUGCCUAUAGGUGUUCAUGGGGCUUGAACACCCUGAGCCACCACGCUACACACAGUUGAAUCUCUUUCAUGGGCAAUUGCUGCUAAAGGGGGUCCCCUUACUGUCUUGAAAAACAGGACACCUGAGCAAAGAGCUAAUCCCAGCUUCCAGACCAUCUCAGGGAUAGUCUGCAGCUGUGGAUCAACCCUGUCCGUACUGAGCAAGACGGCAAAGACAACAGAGGACUGAACACUCUCGUGCUGAAAAGAGAGUCUUUGACCUCAAAAGCAAAGCACAAUAUUACACUAUCUAGAGCUACAAUUUGUAAUAUCACAUCAGGGAUUGCAGCAUUGGGGGGAAAGGGAAGGAGAAUGUGUCACUGCAAAGAAUGCCACAACAGAGGUGCUUUUGGCACUGGCAAAUCACUUGGUCGUACAUUAUUGAUAUGUUAUUUUCGCUCCAUUCUGACAAACCCUAAAUAAUGGCCAUUACAUUUAAAGUAACAACUUUGUUCACUGCAGAAGAAUGAAGUUUGUAAACUGAAGGUGAAAUAUUGUAACAAGUGGUUCUUUUGUUCAGACUU